rnacentral:rRNA from 1 species
GACGAACGCUGGCGGCGUGCCUAACACAUGCAAGUGGAGCGACGAACCAGGCUUCGGCCUGGGGCAAAGCCGCGAACGGGUGAGUAACACGUGGGUAACCUGCCCUGAUGAUUGGGACAACCCGAGGAAACUCGGGCUAAUACCAAAUGUGCCCUUCGGCCAUAAGGCCGCCGGGGAAAGGAAGCUUCGGCCUCCGCAUCUGGAUGGGCCCGCGGCCCAUUAGCUUGUUGGUGAGGUAACGGCNCACCAAGGCGACGAUGGGUAGCUGGUCUGAGAGGACGAUCAGCCACACUGGGACUGAGACACGGCCCAGACUCUACGGGAGGCAGCAGUGGGGAAUCUUGCGCAAUGCGCGAAAGCGUGACGCAGCAACGCCGCGU